GCCACUUCUCUUCGGUGCCAAGCUACACAAUGCUGGUCUCUCUCUCCCUCUCUCUGCAAUCUUGCACGCUCUUGCAUACUCGUACUCCCGCACUACUCUAUAUCGACAUUAUCUCUGGCUCACUCUCUCUGUCUAGGUUUUCAGAUCCCCUGAGUUUCUAGAGAGAGAACUUUUCAGCUGAUUCAAAAAAGCAGAUUCAGAUCCUCCACUUUCGAACCAGAUAAUAAGUCGGAUCCGAUCCGCCCUCAAAACUCGCGGAUUUUCAACCUGAGAUCCGGACGUGCUUGAUUCAUUUGGCUUCCUUUUUCGGCCUUUCUUUGUAUCCUUAGACAGACAUCCCACUUUGUAGCUGAGGUAGCCGAGAAAAUUUUAAGAAAAAAAAAAUCAAAAUUUUACAUAUAUCCAUGCUUGUCUCUACAUAUAUGCAUCAAUUCAAUGUCAAGAUAAUGCAGCUCAAUUGUGCUGAUUAGAGUUAUUAGUUUUCUUGAACUAGUGCUGAUUUUAGUUUUUAAAGGAAAUUUAUCCCCCCCAAAUGAAAAAAGGAAAAAAGAAAAAAGCUUCAAUAUAUGAACUCCCAGCACUUGAUUUGAACCACUCACAACAUUUCAAUUUGAUGAUCAUUAGGGAACAUCUGGCAUCGUUUGGCAAUAUUUUUAAUCGUUGAGAGAAAUGCUGAUUCAAGCAAUAAAUGAACAAUUCACGUUGAAAAAAGAAAAAAAAAUUCCUUCACUUGCACCGGAUACAACAUAGGUCUUGCUUGAAUCAAUCAACUCAUUUUUUUUUAAUUGCAUAAUAAUUUGAGGUGAAUUUGAUUAUGAUAUGUGGCCUUUCAUGAUUAUGUUGGCAGCUAUUUAUUUGGGUUAGAGAUCUGGCAUUGAAGGCCAGACUGCCCUAUUUAGAUGAUAUGCAACGCCAGCAUAAGGAGUGUGAUUGCUCAAG
rnacentral:misc_RNA from 1 species